rnacentral:rRNA from 1 species
ACAAGGGCCUUGCCCACUUGAUUAAUUGAAGGGCUGCAGUAUUUUGACUGUACAAAGGUACCAUAAUCAUUAGUCUUUUAAUUGGGGACUGGUAUGAAAGGUUUGACGGAGAUUGGUUGUCUCGGACUUAAAGUUGUGAAUUUUAUUUUUAAGGAAAAGAGCUUAAAUGCUGCAAAGGGACGAGAAGACCCUAUUAAAUUUCAUUGUUGCUAAGUAAAAUUUUAUUUGUAUAAAAUUUUUAUUUAAAAAAUAAUUUUGCUGGGGCGGUAAAUAAUUAACAUUAUUGGUUUUUAAUAGUUUAAUUAUCUUUAUUAUCAU